CAUGCAUUCCACAUUGCUAUGCAGGCAGUGUGGAAUGCAAUUCAAAAUAAUAACUGCAAGAAAUAAUACAAUACAUAUCUUACUCCAUGAUGAAAAAAGCUGCUUAUGGAAAUGGAAUUGGACAGUUCACAUUUUCAUGCACAUAUUUAUGACAAAACAAAAAUGAGAUGUCAAAUAGCCACCCAGAGACAACAAAGGCAACUGAAUGCAAAAAAACAAUCUUCAUAACUUCUUAUCGUCAAUGCUUCUCCUCUA